GUUUGGUCCUAGCCUUACCAUCAAUUACCCGCUUAACUUACACAUGCAAGCCUCCACACCCCGGUGAGAACGCCCCUUAAUUCCUACUGGACCAGGGAGCCGGUAUCAGGCACAAUAACCAUGCCCAAAACACCUAGCCUCGCCACACCCACAAAGGGCCUUCAGCAGUGAUUAACAUUAUUUAUUAGCGCCAGCUAGACUUAGCUAAAGCACCCAGGGCCGGCAAAUCUGGUGCCAGCCGCCGCGGCUACACCACGAGGCCCAACUUGAUGGUCACCGGCGUAAAGCGUGAUUAAAGCACCAAACUAUUAAAGCCAAAUUAUAACUAAGCUGUGACAAGCUUGUUACUCAGAACCACUUAGACGAAAGUUACUUUAAUUCCACCCACUUGAACUCACGACAGCUGAGACACAAACUGAGAUUAGAUACCUCACUAUGCUUAGCCGUAAACUCUUAAACUACAACACUAUC
rnacentral:rRNA from 1 species